rnacentral:rRNA from 1 species
UACAGAGGUCUCAAGCGUUGUUCGGAUUCAUUGGGCGUAAAGGGUGCGUAGGCGGCUUGUUGCGUCGGCCGUGAAAACCCGCGGCUUAACCGUGGGCUUGCAGCCGAUACGGGCAGGCUAGAGUUCGGUAGGGGAGACUGGAAUUCCUGGUGUAGCGGUGAAAUGCGCAGAUAUCAGGAGGAACACCAAUUGCGAAGGCAGCUCGCUGGGACGUUACUGACGCUGAGACGCGAAAGCGUGGGGAGCAAACAGG